UACGGAGGGUGCUAGCGUUGUUCGGAAUCACUGGGCGUAAAGGGCGUGUAGGCGGCCUGCUAAGUCUGAUGUGAAAUCCCCUCGCUCAACGAGGGAACUGCGUCGGAUACUGGCAGACUCGAGUACCGGAGAGGAAGGUGGAAUUCCCGGUGUAGCGGUGAAAUGCGUAGAUAUUCGGAAGAACACCAGUGGCGAAGGCGGCUCACUGGACCGGCAUUGACGCUGAGGUGCGAAAGCGUGGGGAGCAAACAGG
rnacentral:rRNA from 1 species